AAGCGGGGAUCGAGCCAGCGCCCUCCAGCCUGGGUGACAGCGAGAGACUACAUCUCAAAAAAAAAAAAAGAAAAAAAGAAAUUUAGUCUACCCAUUCUCCCAGACAACUCAGCCUGAGGAAACACACUGAGAAACAAUGAUAACCUCCGAGGAACAGGGUUCAAGGUCUCCCAGAGUGGGGUGGAGAAGGGGAGGGGAAUUAAUGUCAAAGCUUGGCCUGGAAGGAUGACGUGCUCCCCAGGUAAAGGAGGUCAGGACAACAUCAACAUCCGGACAUGGGACUCGGCUUGGACAUACGCUGGAAAAGUGGAUUCUCUCACAUAGUCAGCUGGCCCUGAGAAUUGUUGGUUUUACACUCAGACCUUGGUGGCUUUCCGGGUUCUGGGGGCUCAGGCAAGAGGGC
rnacentral:lncRNA from 1 species